rnacentral:lncRNA from 1 species
AUGGAGCCUUUAAAAUGGCCAGUAGCUCCAGACGGAUACAUUCCCAACUCUGUGAUCCGGAGCUGGGGGAUGAAGAAGAAGGUACACAGCCAAACAGAAAGUUCGAAUGAUGUAAUCCUUUCUGACCUGGAAAGCACAACACACAAUGAGGAGGAUUUCAAAACAAGAAUUUUCUGGUUCGACAAAGAGGAGGCAGACGAAGAAGAAAGAACAGCUGAUGUGAUUGGGAAGAGAAAUGAAUUUGUAGAUGAGAAGAAGAGACAAGAGACUAAAUCAGAUAUAAAGAAGGAGAAGGAAGAUGAGAAAGAUCCUCUAAGAAAGCUGGAGGGAAUAAUGAAGAGAGAGGAGGAAAAGGACAGGAUGGAUGAGAGGAGAGAAGGGAAGAUGGUUGGGACUGAUCUCCUGAAAUCUUCCCACAACAUUCAGACAAACACUGGAACAAUAUAUUAUGAAGAAAUGAAGCUUGAAAGGAACAAUGUUAUUUCAAUCAUUGGCCCAGAAAGAAGUUCAAACAUGCAGGGCGAUCUGAUGCUUUGUGUUGAUGCUUCUAACACACAAAGACCCAUGAAUAAUACCAAAUCAUCUAAAAUGGGAUUUUCUAGCUCAACAUUAGGUCACAACACUGGGGAAGAUUUGGACACGAAGCUCUGUGACACCCGCUCACCUCCAUUUCUUUCUGUGACCACGAAACAGAAAACAUCUGCUGUCGUGACUAAAGGACUUGAUAGUACCAUUUAUACACCACUUACACAGCCCCAGGAUUGGACUUGUCAUCCUCAGAUGUCUGAUCCUCCAGUCACUGACCAACCCCAACCAGACUUUGCUCCCAGUGGAGGUUCCCCAGUCAGAGAUAAAGUGUUCCUCCUCUCCAAAGAGAAGAACUUCACAAAGCAAGCAGUGCCUCCUCUUGACCCAAAGGCCUUAAGACUCUUUAGGAAAUACAAAGACACUAUAAAGAAUUCAUCACACUAUUUAAAUACUGGAAAGCUACAUCUGAACACCCACAGGAAUAGGUCUUUUGCUCCUAAAGCCAACCUGUCCAGCUUUCCCAUUCAGCACAACAGGACUAUCCAUCCAGAACCUCCUGAUCGCUGCCUUGACUCAGGGUCACUGGGCCAAUCAGUGCUACCUGAGCACCUGUCAGUACAUCAGAGGGUGGUGCAGAAGAUCCAGAGAAAAGACACUGUGAGUGAAACCUCCACCCUCUUCCAUCACGUGAUCCCAAUGGCUGCUCAAAACAGUUUUGCUACUUUGAGCCUCAGUGGGACAACUCAGUACGGAAUACUGCAGUUUGACUGGAUUAGGGGCCAUGAGGAGGACAAGCUGCUGGACAUUUCUGGAACAAAUACCAAGGAUACUCAUUAUGUUUUGUUUACCAACAGGGCUUUGUGCCAUCCUAAUGUAUUUGUUUAG